UGGGGAAUAUUGGGCAAUGGGCGAAAGCCUGACCCAGCAACGCCGCGUGAAGGAUGAAGGCCUUCGGGUUGUAAAGCACUUUUUGAGGGGAUGAGGAAGGACAGUACCCUCAGAAUAAGCCUCGGCUAACUACGUGCCAGCAGCCGCGGUAAUACGUAGGGGGCGAGCGUUGUCCGGAAUGACUGGGCGUAAAGGGCGCGUAGACGGCUGUCUAAGUCUGGAGUGAAAGUCCUGUUUUUAAGGCGGGAAUUGCUUUGGAGACUGGAUGGCUUGAGUGCGGAAGAGGUAAGUGGAAUUCCCAGUGUAGCGGUGAAAUGCGUAGAGAUUGGGAAGAACACCAGUGGCGAAGGCGACUUACUGGGCCGUAACUGACGUUGAAGCGCGAAAGCGUGGGGAGCGAACA
rnacentral:rRNA from 1 species